GCGACGUUGGCGGCGUGCCUAACACAUGCAAGUCUUGGGGGAAAGUAGCAAUACGAGUACACCGGCGCACGGGUGAGAAACGCGUGGAUAAUCUACCUAGGGGACGGGAAUAACCUGCCGAAAGGCGAGCUAAUACCCGAUAACGUCCGGUUGCCUGCGGGUAAUCGGACCAAAGCUGGGACCUUCGGGCCCAGCACCCUUGGACGAGUCCGCGUCCCAUUAGCUAGUUGGUAGGGUAACGGCCUACCAAGGCGACGAUGGGUAGCUGGUCUGAGAGGAUGAUCAGCCACACUGACACUGGAACACGGGUCAGACUCCUACGGGAGGCAGCAGUGAGGAAUAUUGCGCAAUGGGCGAAAGCCUGACGCAGCGACGCCGCGUGGAGGAUGAAGGCCUUCGGGUCGUAAACUCCUGUCGGAGGGGAAGAACCACUGGCAGCCGAAUAGGCUCCAGUCUGACGGUACCCUCAAAGGAAGCACCGGCUAACUUCGUGCCAGCAGCCGCGGUAAUACGAAGGGUGCAAACGUUGCUCGGAAUCACUGGGCGUAAAGGGUGCGUAGGUGGCCUAUUAAGUCGGAAGUGAAAGCCCUCGGCUCAACCGAGGAAUUGCUUUUGAUACUGGUAGGCUUGAGUGCGAUAGAGGAUAACGGAAUUCCUGGUGUAGCGGUGAAAUGCGUUGAUAUCAGGAGGAACACCUGUGGCGAAGGCGGUUAUCUGGGUCGCAACUGACACUGAGGCACGAAAGCGCUGGGUAGCAAACGGGAUUAGAUACCCCGGUAGUCCACGCCCUAAACGAUGAGAACUAGUUGUUGGAACCCUUUGAGGAUUCGGCGACGAAGCUAACGCGUUAAGUUCUCCGCCUGGGGACUACGGCCGCAAGGCUAAAACUCAAAGGAAUUGACGGGGGCCCGCACAAGCGGUGGAGCAUGUGGUUUAAUAUUCGACGCAACGCGAAGAACCUUACCUGGGUUUGACAUAUACGUAGUACUGAAAUGAAAGUGGAGGGAUCUGUAGCAAUACAGAAGCGUAUACAGGCGCUGCAUGGCUGUCGUCAGCUCGUGCCGUGAGGUGUUGGGUUAAGUCCCGCAACGAGCGCAACCCUUGCCACUAGUUGCUACCAUUUAGUUGAGCACUCUAGUGGGACUGCCGGGGAUAACCCGGAGGAAGGCGGGGACGACGUCAAGUCAUCAUGGCCCUUAAGUCCAGGGCUACACACGUGCUACAAUGGCCGGUACAGAGGGCUGCAAAAACCGCGAGGUUGAGCGAAUCCCAGAAAGCCGUCUCAGUUCGGAUUGUAGUCUGCAACUCGACUACAUGAAGGUGGAAUCGCUAGUAAUCGCGUAUCAGCUACGACGCGGUGAAUACGUUCCCGGGCCUUGUACACACCGCCCGUCACACCACGAGAGUCGACUUCUCCGGAAGUAGCUGCCUCAACCGUAGGGAGAGAGGUUACCAAGGAGGGGGUUGGUGAUUGGGGUG
rnacentral:rRNA from 1 species